UACGAAGGGGGCUAGCGUUGCUCGGAAUCACUGGGCGUAAAGCGCACGUAGGCGGAUCUUUAAGUCGGGGGUGAAAUCCUGGAGCUCAACUCCAGAACUGCCUUCGAUACUGGGGAUCUCGAGUCCGGGAGAGGUGAGUGGAACUGCGAGUGUAGAGGUGAAAUUCGUAGAUAUUCGCAAGAACACCAGUGGCGAAGGCGGCUCACUGGCCCGGUACUGACGCUGCAGCGCGAAAGCGUGGGGAUCAAACAGG
rnacentral:rRNA from 1 species